rnacentral:rRNA from 1 species
AGCGUUGUUCGGAAUUACUGGGCGUAAAGCGCAUGUAGGCGGACAUUUAAGUCAGGGGUGAAAUCCCGGGGCUCAACCUCGGAACUGCCUUUGAUACUGGGUGUCUAGAGUGUGGAAGAGGUAAGUGGAAUUCCGAGUGUAGAGGUGAAAUUCGUAGAUAUUCGGAGGAACACCAGUGGCGAAGGUCGGCUUACUGGUCCAUUACUGACGCUGAGGUGCGAAAGGCGUGGGGAAGC